rnacentral:lncRNA from 1 species
ACCCGACCCUUUAGAACGUGUUUAGUAGGGAUCCCAAGCUUUGACGCAGCGGCUUUCUCGCGUUUCGCUGCUCGUAAUUGUGGUAAGAGUAUUUCAACCGCUACCUGUAGUGUUACGCUCAUCAAUAGCUUGAACACAACUCUGCCUUGGGAUCCACAGGAAUUAAAUCUGCUYGGGGCAAUGCGUAUCGGAAACACGUCAGAAAACUGGACACAAACGUGUCUAUACUUUAAAGGAGGGUUUCAGGAAAAAGGACGGGGAUCUGUACUAUGCAAUUGGACUGAUGUCAGCCCGAUGGACAAGCACUAUCGAAACUUAACCGGUCCCUUUUGCGGCGUCAAUGAUUCCUCCAAUACGCCCCUAGGAGUUUAUAAGCCCGAUGACUUCCGGGGCGCAUACAAUAUAGGGCCUCCCAGGGCAUUGCUGCCUGAAGUAUUUCUUAUAUGUGGGGACCGAGCUUGGCAAGGCAUUCCUGGGAACGCAGAGGGGGGUCCGCGCUGUCUAGGGAAAUUGACCCUAUUGGCCCCGGAUGCCAAUUGGUGGAGGAAUGUCACAGGAAAGGGGAGUAGUGUCCGCCGCAAGAGAGCUGUUACUGGCUUGUCCCCCGACUGUGAUGACAGGGUCUCCCUGUUAAGUCCCACAGAGCGAGUGUUUCUGUCCUUUUUCGUACCCGGGGCGGCCGCCGGCAAUGCCCUGAACCAGAUCAGGCGUUUAGCCUGCUGGGCGGAAAAGCAAGCCAACGUCACCACGCAGGUGAUUGAAAGCCUGCUGGAAGACCAAAAAGGCCUAAGGCAUGCCAUACUGCAAGACCGGGCUGCAAUUGACUUUCUGUUGCUAGCCCAAGGCCAUGGUUGUGAGGAUUUUGAAGGUAUGUGCUGCAUGAAUUUGUCUGAUCAUAGUGAAUCCAUUCACAAACAAUUGCAGUGGUUGAAGGAGCACACAAGCAACAUCCGUCAGAACCAUGGGUUAUUAGACGAAUGGCUAACUAACCUGUUUGGAAAUCUACCUCAAUGGCCAAUAGGGUUGCUUACUGAAGGCUUACGCAUUCUACUAAUCCUUAUAGUUGUAUGUUUAUGCUUAUGUGUAGUAUUAAGCUGUAUUAAGAAAGCUCUGCUGAAAGUAGUGAACCAAGCCUGGAUUGCUCAAAAACAAGAAGGGGGAAUUGUGGAGGAAUGGUUAGGCCAAAAGGGCCAUGAUCUGUUAAAAGUGAGCAAUCCCGCCUACGAUUACAUAGAAUAAGGCUCAGCGUGUGGGCAAGCUGCUGUCCUUGANNNNNNNNNNNN